AUUGAACGCUGGCGGCAGGCCUAACACAUGCAAGUCGAGCGGAUGAGUGGAGCUUGCUCCAUGAUUCAGCGGCGGACGGGUGAGUAAUGCCUAGGAAUCUGCCUGGUAGUGGGGGACAACGUUUCGAAAGGAACGCUAAUACCGCAUCCGUCCUACGGGAGAAAGUGGGGGAUCUUCGGACCUCACGCUAUCAGAUGAGCCUAGGGCGGAAUGGCUAGUUGGUGAGGUGAAGGCUCACCAAGGCGACGAUCCGUAACUGGGCUGAGAGGAUGAUCAGUCACACUGGAACUGAGACACGGUCCGGACUCCUACGGGAGGCAGCAGUGGGGAAUAUUGGACAAUGGGCGAAAGCCUGAUCCAGCCAUGCCGCGUGUGUGAAGAAGGUCUUCGGAUUGUAAAGCACUUUAAGUUGGGAGGAAGGGCAGUAAGUUAAUACCUUGCUGUUUUGACGUUACCAACAGAAUAAGCACCGGCUAACUUCGUGCCAGCCGCCGCAGUAAAAC
rnacentral:rRNA from 1 species